rnacentral:lncRNA from 1 species
AUGAAACGUUUGUUCCAGUGGGCGUUCUUCAACGAGGACGUGUCACUGUCAUGCAGUUCCCCCGGUCGAAGCCGCCUCGUACUUCGGCGGUCACGCAAGCGGAAGACCCGGAUUCUCCUCACUGCCAAAUUAAUAUUCCCUAUUGAAACGCCGCGGGAAAACCGCACAAAGGAUUUCAGAGCCGUGACGUUCCGAAAACUGACGCACAAUGCUUUUGUGACGCUCCGAGAGUCACUGACGUACGUUUAUCAGGAAACAAAAGGGAAUGGAAAAAGACAAGGAACUCCACUGCUCGGGACUGUCGUGCACCGGUUUAGUGCCUCAAAACAGUUUUGCGUUUACUCUACAGCCAGUCACGCAGAAGGAGCAGCAGAAGGAGCACGUGUGGGGCAUUAACACAAUUUCUCAGAGAAAACGCAAGUUUCUACAGACUGGUUUGUGCACAGUUUGUCUUCAGCAAGACUUCACAAACAAGACUUAAGAUUCACAGAGGAACAAGCUAACUGAGCCAAACUGUACUGUCUUUGCUCCGUUGGUUGAAAUUGCACUAGUACAAGUACAUACCCUUUCACGUGCAGAGAUAUUUUGACAAAAGAUCUUCAGCUGACCUUAGUCUCCUCUAACCUCUGCUCCGCCACGUGAAGAAGAGUUCAGGAAAUUCAGUAGACAAUAGAAGGAGGUUUUGUUAGUUAUAGCGAUAAACUCGUAUAAAUGCACACCUUGCCCUCUACACAAAGAAUUAACAAUAACAAAUAAGAGCUAUUCUCGAGGCAGGGUGUUAAAGAACAUUCGAAGACAAGAAAAAGAGAUCUGUUAAAGUGCAUUUACCUAUAGGUAUUCAUAUUAUGACCAUUACUAAUUUCAGUCAGCAGCACAAAUAGGACAACUCCUAUUUUCAAAGAGGGCAACACUCGGCAAUAUACAGAGAAGCACAUGCAAAGAUAAUACAUUUGCUUUUUAAGUCCUAAGUAACAAGGUUGUUAUAAUACUUAGUCUGUAGAAAAGAGGGAGGACAGGAGACUGCUAACGCAGUUUCUGCUGUAAAGCAUCCAGACGAUGUCCCUUUAUUGCAGGCAGCUUCUCGAGAUCUGUUUGCAUCCGUUUCUGCUAGAGAGUGAAAAACGUGUGUUUAAAUGCAUUAGAAAGAGGCAGACAACAUCCUCUGGUGCUUCUGUAGCACACGCAGUAAAUCAAUCCACUUUUUUCCUCGCAUAGCACACUAAAUAUUAAAAAGUUAUCCAAAUAAAGAUUCAAGCUCUGACUCCGCA